UACGUAGGGAGCAAGCGUUGUCCGGAAUUAUUGGGCGUAAAGCGCGCGUAGGCGGCCCCAUAAGUCCGCUGUGAAAGUCAAAGGCUCAACCUUUGAAAGCCGGUGGAUACUGUGGGACUAGAGUACGGAAGAGGCGAGUGGAAUUCCUGGUGUAGCGGUGGAAUGCGCAGAUAUCAGGAGGAACACCAAUAGCGAAGGCAGCUCGCUGGGACGUUACUGACGCUGAGGCGCGGAAGCGUGGGGAGCGAACAGG
rnacentral:rRNA from 1 species